GUCUAUUCUGUUGAUUACAUACCAUUAACAGUUUAACUUCCAUCUCCAGCUUUUGGAAGAUAAUAAGACUUUGAUAUUAUGUUUCAUAAAUCAUCUUUAAAAGAAGGAUAUGGAACAAGAAAUAAUAUUGUUUUUCUACCAGCCAGAAGAAACUGGGAUCUCAGUUAAAGAAAUUUUAUGGCUUGUUGACAGGAUGCUGCAAAUAAUUGUGUUAAAAUUGUCAAUUGCAGCGACUUGCUGGAUCAGAGGAGGUCUUGCCUGUCGCUGACACCAGUCAUUUUGCUUAUGCUACUGUAGCCAAGGAUAGUGAAAACUCUCUUCUAGCCUCUUGCUUAAGUCUUGUGGAUUUAUACCUUAAACAUUAAUUUUCGAAGGGCCAUACCUGCCAAGCCAAUGUGUCAAACACUACUGCGAAAGAUUCUUCUCUGGAAUAUUUAGUAUCUGUGCAGGCUGCCAAUGUGGCAGUCGAAGAAAACAACAUGCUGGACAGUAGAACGACUGAUAAGAAAACUGGUUCACAAAUUACAGAAGAAUGGGAACAGCUAAUUGUAACAGAGAUACCUAAGAUAUGUUCUCCCACUUGUGUUUCCAAGCCAAAGUUGGAUCAACAUAUUUUAUAUCCCUCUCAAAGUACAAGGCAACUAGAUGAUAAAACUUCACGAAUCAUUGAGAGGCUGGAGGUACCGAAACAGCUGAAAAGAAAGCAGUUUCCCCCAGUGUCGGGCAGUAUUCCUCUUGAUGCACGUUCUUCUAUAAAGAAGCCUCUGAUCUCAUAUGAGGCUGUUAAUAAUGUGGACAAGGACAUUGUUGCAAGCCAGCCUAUAAAGCCCAACUUUCAAAGGCCCAAAAGGAAACGAUAACCAGGAAAUCGAAUGGUCCAUGAGGUCAGUCCUCUCGCUGUCUUCGUUGUUCUGCUAUUCUGAUUUUCUAGCAUGUUUGUGUUUUUGGAAGAUGUUCAUAACAUCAUGUGCACAAGAUGUUCUGCCAUGUAAGGAAAUGAUCUUCAGACCGCAAUCUAUUUCUCCCUUUGUUCCAUUUAAGGUGAUACUCUUUACUUUUCAAUUGUUCCAAAAAGAAUGACAAAUUUCUAUAUAUAUUUGGAAAAAAUUAACUUUAGACUUCCCAUUUUACCCUUAAUAAUGUGCUUUUAUAGCCACAGAAAUGUCAUAGCAUACUUAAGAUCCUAAGUUUCAAAAAUCUUUUUUUUAUUAACUCUCUACACAGUCAAACAAUGUCAAUAAAAGAGGGAGUAAUGUUUUUGGAUGAUUAAUUUACUAUAAGGACAUUUUCUAGGGAAGUUCUGAAUUUUGACUUCUCUAUCUUAAAUGGAGAUUUCAAACUCUUUUAUGCUACAAUUUAGUCCUAGCUACUGGAUACCCUGGCAACAAGGUAACCCUAAAGUACUGACUGGUACGUAGAAAACCUAUAGGGAAUAAAACUUAGAAAGCAGGAUUCAUAACUCUUUAACUCAUGAAAAGCCUAAUAAAUAUAUCUAACUUUUUUGCUCAUUCUGUUAAAGGCGAAUGACAAUAUAGGGAUUUUUACACCGUUAGUAUACUUUAUCAGUUGUAAUAGCCUAAUAGGUAGCUUACCAUGUUGUAGGUAACCAAUUCUUGUUUGCUAUAUGAAGUGUGUGUAUUUUGCUUUUAAGUGAUCUGAAAAGUUAAAAGUUCUUUUAUAAUAUCCUGGAUGCUAACAAUUAUGAAGAAAAGUCAGUAUCUGUAUAAUAUGCAAGAUAAAUUGUAAAGACAAAAAAAUAAAAUAGGGAAUGAAAGUUAUAAUGACCUUUAUGGUAAUCGUUGAUAAACUUCCAAACGAGCUAAGUCGUGGAUGUUGCUACAAGUAGCAGCAAGAGAUAAGCUUUAAAAAAUAUUUGUAAGAAAAAGUCGAGCUCAGUAAGAUGAGAUUGAGUAUAAUCGGGUGAAGUUCGAUGAUCCUUUGUUGAAGGAGGGAGACCCCAUUUAUACAAGACUAAUAGGUCUCAACGACUAGCUGAUAGGGUUGAAACAAUUGCUGAAUUGUAGGUAACAGUUUUUUUGAAUCGUGGGAAAUGGUUGCUAGAAUUCCAGAUUCUGUUGAGUGACUCGGAGUUGUAAACAUUGUAGUUGUGUUAAUCCAGAGCUAAUUGUGCAAGCGACGUAGGUAGGUCGUAGGUGGAUCGUGGAUGAUAGGUAAUCGUGAUGGCUGGGUGGCCGUCUCUGGGACUUGUAUCGCGCCUUCCACGUAUGCAUGUUGGGCUGGUCCCUCCUACCGUAAUCGGGACUUGUAUAAGUUAAACUCUUAAGAUAAUCCUCAAUUCUUUUGGAUUCCCUUGAAAGCCACCAGGGGCUCUUCAAGAUGUUGAUAUGGCUAGCUCUUCAAGAUGUUAAUAUGGUUAAGUUUACUUAUGAAAUCACCCUUGUUGGCUUGAGUAUUUUCUUAAUAUAUGGAAACUUAUACGUACUUUGUAGAACUUCCAAACCUCGUACUUUAGCAGCUAGUUGAUGGAAAUUUUUUCUCUGUUUUCUCGAACUAUAGUAAAUAUGUAGAUCUGAUGCAAGUCUUGCUCCAUGAAUGUUGAGGGAUCUAGAUUUAGUUGUUUAUAAUAAACAGGUAGGAAUAAAGUUCCUGGUUAUGUCUAUUUAGUUCUGUUUAAUUUUCUUUGGAGAAACACAUGUAUUUGUAAAGUGCAUAUGCCUAAGCCCAAAGGCUGGUUCUGCAUUGGAAACUGACGAAAAAUAAAGAGUUUUGAACCUAAAAUUGACUUUUUUUGGUUUAGGAACUCGAGUCAUUACAUUGCUUAAUACCCCAAGAGAAAAGAUGCUAGUCAUAAAGUUUGUGAUUCAGAACUUCUAAUCAUGUAAAGGAGGCCUAGAGUACAAU